rnacentral:rRNA from 1 species
UACGUAGGGGGCAAGCGUUGUCCGGAUUUAUUGGGCGUAAAGAGCUCGUAGGUGGUUCGGUAAGUCGGAUGUGAAAUCUCCAGGCUCAACUUGGAGCGGUCAUUCGAUACUGCCGUGACUAGAGUUCGGUAGGGGAGUGUGGAAUUCCUGGUGGAGCGGUGAAAUGCGCAGAUAUCAGGAGGAACACCCGUAGCGAAGGCGGCACUCUGGGCCGAUACUGACACUGAGGAGCGAAAGCGUGGGGAGCGAACAGG